GCUGAACCCCGUUCACAUUGGGCUAGGGGAGGGAGAGAACUGGGUCAGGUUCUGGUUUGAAUCUAGGUCGCUCACAUAAGUAUUUCACAGAGCUUAGCAAUGAUGAAUUGUUAGAGGCCAGCGGUCCACCAUGGGGUGAUUAGCGCUGAGCGAGGAGCGGGCCGUCUCUCUCUGGAACUCUCUCUGGUUGGCCCAGGUACCGGCAUCACGAGGCAGGCUACGAUACGUGUCCAUGCCUUUACCCUGCAAAGAAAGAUGCUCCAGCAGCGUGCAACGUACUGGUUCGCAGGGCAGAAGGCGUGACUUCGAUCUCGCUGGCCUGGUAGGGCUGGAAGGCCGAGACGCCGGGGGUGCUCAGCUCUGAGGUGAACAGGUCAGGACUCUGGGUCCCCGUGGAGCUGGCACUGGUACCAUCAGCCCCAUGGUGGGGCUCCUGCUCAUCAUACACCGCUAUGAGCUGUGAGAGAGCGAGAGAGAGAAAUGUUAGAAGAGAAAAAGAAAAGGAAAAUAGAUUUAAUUUCAGAACACCAUUGAAUCGUGGCCUAAAAACUCAUUAAAAAAAGCAGUGAAUAGGGAUGACAAACGCUGUUGCCUUACAGUUGCUAAAGCUUUCUGAACAGCAUCAGUAAUGGGGUACUGCCAUGAUUUUUUUUUUUAAUUCAAUUUUCAUUUGGUGUAAAGCAAUAAUAGAAGUGUGAUAUCCAUCUGUUUUUCUACUGAAAAUCUGAAAUGUUGAGUUUAGUCAAAGGUCAUCUUGUUUGAAAAGACAUCCUAUAUAAUUUCAUAUCUGUCAAUAACAGAAACCCAUGUGUCUAUUUCUGUCGGAUUCUGAGUUACAACCUUCUGAAAUGCCAUGAUGUGGAGGGUGACCUUUGAAGGUGACAAUGUAAAAGGUCAUGGUGAGCGAAAGCAGGACUUCCUGUUUGUCAACAACAGUAAUCAAGUGGCUCUCUGUAGCUGUUAAUUAAGAGUUAAAGCUUUUUCAAAUCCCAUAACUGUGAAGUUUGAACUUUCAAGUUGACAGGGUCAUGCUGCCAAAUGACAAUCUUUGUAAUAAUAAUAAUAAAAAAUUAAACUUAUAUAGCACUUUUCUAACACUCAAAGUCGCUUUACAAUAAAUGGAGUGAAACAAGACAACAGAUAAACAUAACACAAACAUACAGGGGUGGAUGGGAAGGGGGGCUACGAGAGAGAGAAGUGGCAGCCACACACGACGCCAGCAGUGCUCUCCCACUUAAACACAUACAAAAAACAAAAACAUUGUGAAUUAAUCUGUCAAUAAAAAUAGGCUAUCUGCAACCAUUUCUGAGCGAUACUGAACUAUAUAUGUAGCGUUGACUGACGGCGUUGAUCUCCUAUAUGUCAGACCUUAUCAACCAUUAAAACAAUGGUAAAUGGACUGCAUUUAUACAGUGCUUUUCUAGUCUACUGACCACUCCAAGUGCUUUACAGUGUACACCUCACAAUCACCC